ensembl:lncRNA uncharacterized LOC113883881
GUGAUCUGGAAUUGGCCCCAUCCCCCAGCCCGCAGCCCCUCCUGCCACCCUGACACUGUCGUCCUACCUGGGGAGGUGCAGGGGGCCCCGAGCAAGGACCCAACAUCCCCGGGAGGCGGAGGCGGCGUGCAGGCCGUGCAGCUGGGUUCUCCUCUCGGCCUCAGCCGGAACGGGAGGGGCCCCUUUUCCUCACCUCCAGGGCCUGAUUUAAUCCUUGAGAGGCUCUGGUUUGGAAUUCUCAGGGCAUUGUCUAGAGGGUGAGGGGGUGUCCUGGGGGCUGGGGGCUGGAAGAGAGGAGGGCAUGCCCGCUCAGCCCCUGCCCUUCCCCCGGCAUCCCCUGGAGCCGGUGUUUAUCUUCCAGAUUCAGAAUUUCCAGGCAUGAUGACUGGUGUGAGUCAGACAAAAUGCACUUAGAAUUCAUCGUGACGGCCUCAAGGAGGUGGUCAGGAUGGACACCCACAGUCUGGUGCCCAGAUUACAGACGUCAGGACCAGCUGGGUGGGGACUGGUCGUGCCGAGUCAGGUGUGUGUGUGCCCGUGUGUGUGUGUGUCCGUGUUCCCGUGUGCCCGUGUUCCCGUGUGUGUGCCCGGUGUGUGUGCCCGUGUGUGUGUGUGUGUCCGUGUGUGUGUGUGUGUGUGUCCAUGUGCCCGUGUGUGUGUCUGUGUGCCCGUGUGUGUGUGUCCAUGUGCCCAUGUGUGUGUGCCCGUGUGUGUGUGUAUGCCUGUGUGUGUGUGUGUGUGUCCAUGUGCCCGUGUGUGUGUCUGUAUGUCCAGCAGGGGCACCUGUGUCCUCCCACGAAGCCUGGGCAUCAGGAGGCCCUCUGAGCUGAUGAUGGGAGUUGCUUUUUCUUGGAAAUACUGUUUAUGUUAACGAGCCAUGGGUUUCUGCGGCUCAUUAUUAUUUUACUGAGCAUUGGGCCUUUGGGUUUUGUCUGACAUGGGGAGACAGCAGUCUCAGAGGAGAGGAAACAGCAAGCAAGCGCUCUCCGCAAACGUCACGUGGCCCUGGGUGCAUCUCGAUCCUGGCCCUGCCCUGGGCGUCCUCCUGCGCCCCCGCCCCGGGCACAGCGGCCAGCGGGCAGCAGCGAGCCGGCGCGGGAGUCCUACAGGAAUCCCGUCCCAGUUGGCCCGAGGUGACUCCGGAUUGUCCAGGGAGCCUUUGGCUCCAUCUGCCUGGAAGCCUGCCCCUCUGCAGCCCGAGCCCAGGCCCGCGGGGGCGGCCAAGAGUGCGCGGGAGAGCUGCCGGCCAGGCACGCGGCCCGGCGGGGCAGGAAGCAACCUCCACGCAGCAGCUCGGGAGCCCGGCCCGGGGCUUGCUCCAGCCUCUGACUUCCUUUCUGCAAGAGCCACGCUGGGCCUGCCACCGUGGUUCCCCAACAGGCCUGCGGCAUCGGGGCCCUAUGACCGAAGUACACGUCCUCCUGGGGCAGGCUCAGGCCUCCGACCGUCCAGCGUGGCCCCCGGCCCUUCCAGUCUCAUGCGCCCCAUCAGAGGAAAUGUCCUCCUGGCCUCCCUGCCCUCCCUCGGACGCUGUGAGUCCACCUGCCACUUCCCCUGUGGACCGACCUGCACGACCUGCGAAGGAGAGGGUGAGACGGGGUCGGCAGGAAAAGAUGCACGCUCCAGCCCACGAAGACGUGUGGGAAGCUGCUUCCGGCAGGCCGGGGACAUCCUCUCUCCUCUUUUCCAGAAAGAAAAAACACACGGCCGGGAGGGCCAUGUGGGGUCUCCGCCACCUGGCUGGAUGGGAACCGGCGUCCUUGUCUGCACCGCCGUCUUGCCAUCACUCACGAGUGGCCCUGAAGAGCUCACAUCCUUGAGAGGACUGGUCCUCAGCACACCUCCUGCCUGGAAGAGCCUCCGGCACCUCGGGGGUCCCUAGGGUGCACUUGGAGAGCUGUGUCUCCCUCAUUCUCCUCAAGCCUCAGCCCAGCCUUGCCCUCCCUGCCUGUCCUCAGCCUCCCCCGGGAGCCUUGUAUUUCACAAUUGCUCUGCUCUUGUUCCUUCUGCUGAUGGCACAUUCCUUCCAUAUUUCCUUCUGCAAAUCCCUAAAAGAGAGAAUCCGUUUGGCGUGCUUCUCUUCUUUGAGCUGGAGCCCCAGGUCGAAGUCCUGGGCCCACUGUGGGGUUGGGGGAAGUCCUGGAGGGAGAACCCCACCCUGUGUGUGCAGGGAACAUUUACAAGUAUUCCUGAAUAAACUCCCGCUGCCAACAAGCCCA